CAGUAGCCGCGGUAAUACGUAGGGUGCAAGCGUUAAUCGGAUUUACUGGGCGUAAAGCGUGCGCAGGCGGUUAUGUAAGACAGUUGUGAAAUCCCCGGGCUCAACCUGGGAACUGCAUCUGUGACUGCAUAGCUAGAGUACGGUAGAGGGGGAUGGAAUUCCGCGUGUAGCAGUGAAAUGCGUAGAUAUGCGGAGGAACACCGAUGGCGAAGGCAAUCCCCUGGACCUGUACUGACGCUCAUGCACGAAAGCGUGGGGAGCAAACAGGAUUAGAUACCCCUGUAGUCCCUGUCUCUUAUAC
rnacentral:rRNA from 1 species